rnacentral:tRNA from 1 species
UCCCUGGUGGCUCAGAUGGUAAAGUGUCUGCCUGCAAUGCAGGAGACCCAGGUUCAGUACCUGGGUCGGGAA